UCAGCCUUGUGCGUUUUUUGUCCUACCUACUUAAAUCAUCCUGUAUCGUUUUUUUUUCGAUAUUCAAGCGCCAGUCUGCUGAUUGAUGAUCGGUCAAUUUUCAGCUAACGAUCCAACCGAUAAAAAAAGAAGCAAACAUUGGCUGAUAGAUUUUAUCCGUUGGUAACUGAUCUUUAACAACUCUUUUUGUGUUCCUUUUUUUUUGUAGUAAUUCCAUGGGACAAGCGUGGCCCAGUGGCAUACUACAUAGAAUUUUCGUUCGAGGUGGCCGCUCUGGUCGUUGACUUUGGUCAUCAUCUGCACAUGCUGCUGUGGGCCAAUGUGUUCCUUUCGUUGGCCAGCCUUGUGAUCAUCAUGCAGUUGCGCUGUCUGAUCAACGAGAUCCAAAGGAAGUUCAAGCACCGUAACUACCUGUGGGUGCUAAACCGCAUGGAAAAGAGCUGUCCCCUAGCGACAGCCGAAGAUCUGAAGUAGAAUUCUGACAACUGUGCCAUAUGCUGGGAGAAACCGCCCGGAAGCUGCCCUGUUCGCAUUUGUUUCAUAAGUAAGUUGGGCUCAUGCCUUCAAUCUUGGUUGAAACGUGACACUAGUUUUCUGACGGGUCGGCUCGGAUUUAACAACGUUAACAAUUUCAAUGUGGCCAAUAUUUUGCGAAUGAAAUCCGCAAUUCCCCUUCAAUGGCUCCUGCCGGUUCCUCGGGAAACGGCCGCUGAGAACCAUACCUCCCAGGUUAGGAAUAUGGCCCAGGAGCGACAACUAGGAGAUUUUCCCUUGAUGGAUUACAACUUCCAGCCAGCAUCCUCGUCAGCAGCAUUCGCCAUCAUCAUCAUCAUCUUCAUCGGCGGCUUCCACGCCUAACUCCGACAGUUCCUCCGCGCCGCCGGCUACGAUUGUCACCGGUCAUGGCUACAGCCCUAGCAGUUGUAAUAGUAGUGGCUACGAAGUCGAACGAAAUAGCAGCAUUUUCGGUAACAUCGACCAUCUGCUGCGAGAGAACAGCAUGGAACCGGCCGGGGAGCGGUUUUAUAAGAGCUCCGAAGAGCGGGAACGGACUCCAGCGGAGGAAAUCGACGCUGCUGCACGUCAUGAGAAGGAGCUAACUUCCGGAGAGCAAAAAAGUUGCCAUGCUCUUGAGCGAGAUGAACCAAGCUUUGCAAAAGUUUGCGGAAAAAGGGUCGUAACUCGUGCCCCCAGAAGCAGUUGGCAGAGGAAUUUUUGCGACACUACCGCGGCCAGUUGACUUGCAUUGUGCAUCGCUGCUCUCCAAGAACGAGAAACAAAUUAUCCGGAAGGGCCGGUAUGUCACCUCUAAGUGCUUGCCCUUGAUAUUCCUAUCCUACAAUUGUAAAGUCCAAAAAGUAAAGAAAUCUGGCUGGAGCACACCAACGAUGUGACCAAGCAUUUGAUUGGAUUUUGUAAGCAGGGUUCGUUCCGGCGUUGCCAGGCCAGAAGCAUCUAGCUUCAAAGUUUAACGCGAUGGCAAAAUUUAAAACACCGAUCUAUCAGGUAAUCGUAAGCUUUUAAUACAAGAAUUAAUAAUAAUUGAACUUUAUUUUUUUCUUUUAUCAGGUCCGCCAAUUUUGUUCCGACACAAUUUGGAAGAAACAAAAAUAUUGAGCUCUGUGCAGCAACGGCGGAGAUUAGCUGUCGAAAAUGUCUUCUACGUAUUUCAUACAGAAUGCAUCUGUAUUUGUGAAUCGGAGUGUACUUUUACAAGCAUAUUUAUAAUAGUUGAUACUGUCAAUAGGGCAUAAUUCGUUUGGUUAGGUAGUUAGUUGGUUUAGUUUUAUAGAAUUUAAAAUAGAGAAAAAGUGUUAGAAAUAUUGUGAUGUUAGGUAGAGGUUAUGGUACUCGCCUCCCCAAUGCUCUAUUCAGUAAGUGUGUAUUUGCGGUUUACGAAAUUCGUUGGCUUAUUCUUAAAUUAAGCAUUUUACAAAAACUAGAGGCUCAUUGGGUCGAAAUGCUGUUGUUGAAGAACAUGAUAUUCCAUUUAGUGAGACGCUUUUUGCUUUAUUUAUUUUAUCAUUCACUUUUGGCAGAUCUUUACAUUUUUCGUUAAAGUUUGAAAUUCAUCUAUAGAAAUAGAUAAUAGAACUUUUGAUAAUGUUGAAGAACAACAAUGAGUAGGUAGUCCACUUCGGGCAUUUAAAAAUAGGCACACGGUAUUAAUAGAACCCUUAUGUAGGCUUAGUAUAGUUUGUCAGAGAGGCUGACCAUAAUAAGUUAUGAGGUUUAAGAAGAACAGCAUCGUGCAUUUCCUGUUCUGUUGAUAAGUAGACGAUCACGUUAUUUAAGCUAGAUUUAUUACAAGUUUGAGCUAGGGUUUUUAUUAUAUAUUGAUAGAUGAUAUGAACUAACAUCCCAUUUUUCUUUUCCAUUUUCUUUUUGGUCUUUUUGUAUUUCUUUUCAUGCUGCCUUCUGAUGAUGGCGAAUUCGCGUCAAGUUUGGAAAACUCGAACAACCUUGAAGCCAUCUCUUCACAACAUUUCCCCGAAGAUGGAUUUUGCAUGAUGUGGUUGUCAUCCCAAGGAUUUAAUCAACACCUGAAUAUGGACGAAUUGCUUAAAAAGAAAAAGCUUGCGCCAGACAUCGUAAUGUCUUGUAGCAGAAGAGGUAACAAGAAAUAAAUUAG